UCCUCUUCGAUUCCAUCGCCACCUCCCCCUCCUCCUCCUCCGACCCCCGCUUCCCCAACUCCCUCCUCCACUCCUACGCCGUCGUCGCUGCCUCCCCCUCCAACUCCCUCGCCUUCCUCCGCCACAUCACCCCAAACCCUAAACCUGAUGCUCUCCUCCGACCUCGCCCCCAACGCCGCCACCGCCGACAUCGCCGUUCGAGGACAGGUUCAUCCCUAAUAGGUAUGCGAUGGACUUCGAUUACGCUCACUACAUGCUGACGGAGGGUAACAAGAAGGGAAAGGAGAAAGAGAACCCCGAGGUGACAUCACCGUCGCGAGAAGCCUACUUGAAGCAAAUCGCUGAGGCUUUCAACAUGAACAGAACUCGAAUCUUGGCCUUCAAGAACAAACCCCCGACUCCGGUUGAACUCAUUCCCAACUCCAUCCUUUUGCCUCCUUCUCCUUCCAAAUCCUCUAAGCCCAGGCGUUACAUUCCUCAUAGUUCUGAGAGGACUUUGGAUGCUCCUGAUAUACUAUAUGACUUUUACUUGAACCUGUUGGACUGGGGAAGCAGAAAUGUGCUCAGUAUUGCCCUUGGAAACAUCGUGUAUCUAUGGAAUGCCGCUAAUUGCUCGACGGCGAAACUUGUUACCAUGGAUGAGGAAGAUGGUCCCGUUACUAGCGUUUCCUGGGCUCCUAAUGGGCGCGAUUUAGCCAUUGGUUUGAACAAUUCUCACGUCCAGCUCUGGGAUGCUGUUGCUUCUAGGAUGGCUCGCAGGUGUGCGCUUUGCUGUGGAACAAGAAUGAGCGUGAGUUGCUUAGCUCGCAUGGUUUCACCCAGGACCAGCUCUCUCUUUGGAAAUACCCUUCAAUGGUGAAGAUGGCAGAGCUCAAGGGUCAUACCUCCAGGGUGUUGUUCAUGGCGCAAAGUCCACAUGGGUGUACUAUGGCCUCUACAGCAGGGGAUGAGACGCUGAGAUUUUGGAAUGUUUUUGGAACGCCACAGGCUUCCAAACCAGUGCCUAAAUCUGACACUGAGCCCUUUGCUCAUGUGAACCGUAUUCGUUGAAUAUGCAUGUAGAAUUUUUGCGAGCCCGAGACUAGCUCUAUUAUGUUGGUAGUCAUGGGAUGGACAUUAUUUGUCCUCGUAGACAAUCUAAUUCUGAUAAUCACCCAGAGUGCAUUUGUUCUGCUGACAAACAGGUACUAGUUUCAAUGUUUUUAAGUGACAUAUGUUUCUGAAUA